AGGAUAAACGCUGGCGGCGUGCCUAACACAUGCAAGUCGAACGCGCUUUUUUCGCAAGAGGAGAGCGAGUGGCGGACGGGUGAGUAACACAUGGGUACCUACCUUGGAGUGAGGGAUACCGGCGAGAAAUCGCCGACAAUACCGCAUACGCUUCUCUUCACCGGGAAGCAAAGUUGCGCAAGCGACGCUCUGAGAUGGGCCUGUGGCCGAUUAGCUAGUUGGUGGGGUAACGGCCUACCAAGGCGACGAUCCAUAGCUGUUCUGAGAGGAAGACCAGCCACACUGGGACUGAGACACGGCCCAGACUCCUACGGGAGGCAGCAGUGGGGAAUAUUGGACAAUGGGGGAAACCCUGAUCCAGCAAUACCAUGUGUGUGAAGAAGGCCUUAGGGUUGUAAAGCACUUUAGUCAAUGAGGAAGGUACGCAAGUACCUUGACGUUAGUUGAAGAAUAAGCACCGGCUAACUCUGUGCCAGCAGCCGC
rnacentral:rRNA from 1 species